rnacentral:lncRNA from 1 species
GGAAUUCUUAUUUUGUUUAUCUCAAACCUUGUUCCUCACGGUGAAAACCUAUUUAGGCACCAAAGAAAACAAACGAAUGAAAUUUUUCUACCCCAGUUUUCGCUAGGAAAAUUUCGUGAUUAAUUGUAACAAAAUCUAAACUGUUUUUUAUUGAAAACAAUAAAAUCAGUAUUGUGUAUCCUUGGGAAAAGAUAUUAGGUAGUGGAGCCCUAUAUCUAUAUUAAAAUCAACCAGGGAAUGAAGACCCUAUGUUGGAAAAACGACUAGGGAGUAGAGACCCUAUGCCUAAAUAACUUCAACUAAGGAGUGGAGACCCUAUGUUGGAAAAGCGACUAGGGAGUAGAGACCCUAUGUCUACAAUAAAAUCAACUAGGGAGUGGAGACCUUAUGUUAAAAAAGCGACUUGGGAGUGGAGACCCUAUGUCUAAGAUAAAAUCAACUAGGGGGUGGAGAUCCUAUGUUGGAAAGGCGACUAGGGAGUGGAGACCCUAUGUUUAAAAAUAAACUCAACUACGGAGUGGAGACCCUAUGUCUAAAAAUAAACUCAACUAGGGAGUGGAGACCCUAUGUUGGAAAUACGACUAGGGAAUGGAGACCCUAUGUCUAAAAUAAAGUCAACUAGGGAGUGAAGACCCUAUGUUGGAAAGGCGACUAGGGAGUGGAGACCAUAUGUCUAAAAUAAACUCAACUAGGGAGUGUAGACCCUAUGUUAGAAAAGCGACUAGGGAGUGGAGACCCUAUGUUGGGAAAGCGACUAGGGAGUGGAGACCCUAUGUCUAAAAUAAAAUCAACUAGGGAGUGGAUAGCUUAUGNNNNNNNNNNNNNNNNNNNNNNNNNNNNNNNNNNNNNNNNNNNNNNNNNNNNNNNNNNNNNNNNNNUAAAAGUCUACUAGGGAGUGGAGACCCUAUGUUGGAAAGGCGACUAGGGAGUGGAGACCUUAUAUCUAAAAAUAAACUCAACUAGGGAGUGGAGACCCUAUGUUGGAAACACGACUAGGAAGUGGAGACCCUAUGUCUAAAAUAACUUCAAGUAGGGAGUGAAGACCCUAUGCGUAAAAUAAAAUCAACUAGGGAGUGGAGACCCUAUGUUGGAAAAACGUAACUAGAGAUUGGGGACCCUAGGCUACCAUGAUUUUGAAUUUUUCUUCUUUCUUCUUCUUUUUGUUUUAAGAAAAUGAAUAAAAAUGCAGGAAAGAAUUCGGAGGAGACUUCCCUUUUGGAUUGAUUAUUGCUUCAAAGCUGUUUCUAGACCUUGCACAGUUUCUCUUUGGUUGCACCUGCUUCUUGCAAGGUUGCUUUGGAUUGUACCUGUUUCAUGUUUUCAAACAACGAACAAUUGUUAGUUUGAAAUGGUGGUUGGUUUUGUGGCCUUGAUUGUUUCAAUCACUUGAUCUUGGCCCGGCUUCUUUGAUGAAGAUCUCAAUUGCAACUGCUCGUUUCUUGAGGACCGAUUUCAUUUCAGGCCCUGAGAACCUCUGAUUUUUUCCAGAUUUUGCCAUGACAGUUGGUCGGUGGAACUCAACCUUUUUGACUUUAUUCUGCCUUCGUAGGCCUUUCACUUCCGGCUUCUUUCUUCCAACAUCAAUUUCAGAGCAUUUGGGGUACCUUGGCUUUUUCAAAUCUUUGCUGAGACGAUUAGCCACGUGGAACUCAACCUUUUCAACUUCUAAGAGUUUUUAAUUUCAAAACAUCAGCCAUCAUGGCCGGUCGAAGUCGACUUGAUGCCCUUGCGAAGGCUGGGUGUCUUCUUGUAUAUUAGCUCAUGUCAAAUGAGAACCCUGUAAAUCAGUCUUCUCAUCCCUUCUUUGUCUCAGUUGCGGAAUAGAGUUAGACCGAAAGGAAUUCAAAGAAAAAUAAAUAAUGGACAGGAUGAUGAAUUUAAAACAAGUAGUGUCCCUUUCGAGGAAAGGAAGAAGGACUUAUCUGGGGUACAUGCGGACUUCAAUGAACAUGACAUGCCUUUUGGACUGGAUGCAUGAUCUGUGUAAACCGUCCGACUCUGAGAAAUUCAUCACAACUUUUGCCUCAAAAUCGAGAAACCUUGCCAGGACUCUUUCAGUGUCAAUGGUUGUAAGGUAUUCCUUCUUUUCGAUCAACGGCGCCCUUUGCGGGUUUUCGCCAAUUAACCUCUCUCAUUUCUCUUCUCACCGUCGCCUUAUAGUGCUCUUUACGAGUUUUCACAAACAAGACUCUCUCAUCUUCAAUUUCUCUGCUCACUAUCGCCUUACGGUGCCCGUGUGAGUUUUCACCAAUAAAACUCUCUCAUUUUAUUUCUCUCAUCUUGAUUGUAUUAGAUCUAAAUAGUUACGUUCUCCGAUUCUUAAACAUUCUCAUUGAUUGAUCGGAAGGACUUGAACAGGGUUCAGAGUAAAAGGAAUUUGGAUCAAAUUACAACUUUGGAAUCUUUUGGCGAACCGUCACUGAAUCAUUAUAACAUCUGUUCCACUUUCACUUUGGGGGGAAAUUGAAUUUUUGUUUUGGUGUGACUGAACCCCAGAGAGAAGUUGUCUACGUAUCCUUUCGGAAUCAAGUCGAACAUAGUUCAGGAAACUUUCUUUUUGAUUUUCUUUUGUUUUCUGUUUUGUUUUGUUUUCCCUUUCUUUUUCCUCUUUUUUUUUCAUUUCAUUGUCUUUUCUUCCCCCUCUUUUUUGUAUCUUUCUUUUCUUCUCUUUUUCUUUUUGCCCUUUUCUUCCUUUUUUGUAAUUUUUCUUUUUUUCUCUUUUCAUUUUUUUUCAUUUCAUUUUUUAUUUUUUAUUCAAUAACACUUUCAAGUUUCAAAGAGGGUAAUCAAAGAAAAGUAACCAGCUCAAAGGGUUUUCAAAGGAUUGAUAGUGUUUGGGUAACGAAAAUAAAAGCCUUCUUCAUCUCAACCGGAGAACAUUAUUGUUAUAUAGAAGAUCCAACAUAGUACCUUUUGACUGCACCUGGGUUGAGAGUUGUUUCAGGAUCUUUUCCUUCGACAUUUCCCAGGUACGACGCUCUCUUUGUAGUACCUUUGUUACCAUGUAGGAAUCUUUCCAAUUUGGAGCCAAUUUUCCUUUAACUGUUCCAACUCUUUGUUUUAUUUCCUAAAACUUAUCUUCAUUGCAAUCUAAUUCUUGAUUCAUUAUUUCAAUUUCUGACAACAUUUUAGGAUCCGAGCAUGAAGUCCGCAAGCAUGUCAUGUUAUUGAAAUCUGCAUUUGACAGAACAAAAAAGAGAAUAAGAAAAAUGACAAGAUUAAGAAAAGAGACAUUCCUGGACAAUGAAAUAUUAAUUUCAUUUGAUAUUUUUUAUUUUUCGUUUUUUUGUAUUAUUUUUUUCAAUUUUUUGAAGAUAGAAGGGUUUACAUCAGAAAGUAAGACAAUAAAUUAAAAUAUUCGUACCACACUCUAAGAUAAUCCGGACGCAGAAAGGAUAGCAAGACUGGAUACCGAUACUCCCCUCUGAUGGGGAACUUUCAUGCUUGGCGACCAUAUUUUGGCUUUUCUUCUAUCUCGGCAAUGGCUGCAAUGGCCUUCAGUGCCAGAUCAAGUUCCUCAUCUUCACAAAUCAUUCCGACUAUGCAAACCGAAACAAACAGAUGCGAAAGUAGCACGUAAGAUGCAUCAGGAUGGUCUUUUUAAUUUGGGUACACCUAUCCUAGACGGACUCAACCCCUAUGUUGAGUCCCCAAUGUCAAUUGCAUGUGAUGCAAAUAAGCGUUCCUACUAGGGAUCCGGCAUAAGGCUAUGUUAUUCUAGGUUUAAAAACCUGGUGUAUUUGUUCUAGACCUGGCUUACCCGAGCAGACAGCUCGAGCCGAUGGGGGGCAGCAUACUGGUAAUACAGAAGUUUCACCGGCUUUGCACCUUGUCCGAACCUCGUUCUAAAAUUGGGAUAUGACUCUAACAGAAAAUAAGUUACAUGAAGUGUACACUUCCCAGAUGAUUUAGAAGACUCAGAGAGAAGAGGAUUUCGUAACAGUUUAUAUACAAUUCAAACAAUAUCAAAGCGGUAAAAAGCGGCAUUUAGUACAUUAGGCCCAAACAUAUAAAAAUCAGAUAAUAAAUAAAGCCAAGUAUAACAGUCAUUCUAAGUUCGAAUUCUUGAACCCUAAACCAAAUGUUCUGGGUUAUGGUCCUCAGCAGAGUCGCCAGAGCUGUCACACUUCCUUUUGACCACCCGAGGGGGAUAUAAGGGAGUUUUUCUAAUUAAAGUGACAUUAAUCAAAAUGGUAUUAUUUUAUUAAAUUUAUCAGAUUCGCCACUUGGGAUAAUUAUUUGGUGUCCCAAGUCAUCGGUUUAUUUUGAAAUCCCAAAUCGAGGAAAUUUUGACUUUAUUUUUAAAAAGUCUGCGAACCAGAAAUUCUAAGUAAGGAAUUCUGUUAACCCGGGAGAAGGUGUUAAGCAUUUUCGGGUUCCGUGAUUCUAGCACGGUCGCUUAAACUAUUAAUAUUGCCCUAUUAUCUAAUUUGCUACAUAUUUUAAACAUAAUAUGCAUUUUUAAUUUUAUAGCCGCUUUUAAUUACUUUAAACUGCUUUUAGGAUUUAUGGAAUUGUUUCUUAAACAAGUUACGAUUGUCGUACACUUGCCGUUUUGGAACAUACCACAAAUUACGCUACAUGAAAUGUACCUGCGAUUCGCGAUACGUUUAUUUUUAUUAAUAUUUAAAGUUGUUAUGAUCGGGUUACAUGAAAUGCACCCCCGAAUUUUGGAACUAGGCAUCGUAACUAUGUCACGGGAACCGUACCCAUAGUCACGAUGGUAUAUUAAUCGCGCCUAAAGCAACUAGCGCGUGUAAAAAAAGGUUGUUUUUCUAUACUAAGUUAAUAUUAAUGCGAGGGCCAUAGCUUAUGGAUUUUAUUUGUGUAUGGUACACCUCAAAUUAUUUUAAGAAAAGGUUUAUAUAUUUUUUCUUCUAAGGAAAACUAAAGAUGCUCCUACUUUAAUCUAAUUUUGCAUCACAACCAUGUCACGGAACCGUACCCGUAGUUGUAAUAAUUUACAAAAAAAAAUGCCAAGUUCGCAAGGUUUCUCUCCAAAAAUUUCAACUACUGCCUACUUUCCAUUUUAGUGCAUUUCAAACUGUUAACCACUGUCGUAAAUAUAGCAAGUUUUUAUUCCUCCAAUAUUCAAACUAAUAUAAAAUAGUACUCUUUCCAUUGGAUCAACUUUGAGUUGACACCUCUAUACCUUUAUGCUCCUUGAUAAUCAACCAAAGUAAAAAUCGAAAUGAGAUAAAUUUGACUCAAAUCUUUUCCUUUGGUUUGUUCCUUUGGAUUCACAGACCCCGACAUCAGAUAUAGAAGCAGAGGUUCCUUUCUUCUAAGAGUAGAAACAAAAUGAAAGCUCCACUGCUCUCUUUUUCUUUUCACUUCAUUUGUUUUAUUUGUUGGAGGAUUUUGUUGAAAGUGUAUUAUAACAUAAAGAAAUACAGAUGAUUUAGUGGAGCAAGUGAAGCAUCUAUUUUCAAAUGAAUCUGACGGACACGACCAUGUGGUUCGCCAUUUUAUUGAUAUUCUGAAAUUGUGGAUUACACAAAAAAAACACAAACAUGCAUAUGUAUAUUUUGCUAGUAAUUUGCUUAGUAAGUUCACAGAGAUUCAAUUCAAGCUACUGAGAUCAGAAACAAGGUUAUAGCAGUGUAAUUAAUUACUCCUCAUGUCAUUAUAAAAUGAUUUCCACAACCGGCAACUUCUACAAUAACGUAGGAGGGAGCUGAUUGACUCAAUGACUUCAGUGAUGUUUAAAAUCUUUCAUUCAGGACCUUCAACACAAGUAGAUCUAGAUUAAAUUCGAACCACCAUCAUAGAUUCAUAAAUAAAAAAAAAUUAGACUUUCCUAAAUUAUUCAAAUCCAUCAAGACCCUAUUCAAACAACUCAAAAUCUUAGUGGAGAACAAUAUAUUCAGCAUUAAACAUCGAUUAAGAAUAAGAGAAAAAGCAACAGAACUUGAAGCUUAGGAAAACAUCUCUUAAUCAGUAUGAGACUUAGCAGGUAUACAACAAAGUUUCAUCCAUAAUUCAGAAUAAGAGAAUAAGUUAGGAUUUACAUACCUAAAGCAAAGAAAUAUAAGGCAAUGACCAAAUAAAGGUUAAGUUUGAGGGCAAAUGGAGCUUGAUUAAAUAGGAGCAACCAAGCAGUAAUCAGCAGCCUCAUGAGUUCAAAUCCAGCAGCUUCUAAACCCGGAAAAUUGUUCCCCAACUCUUGCCUUUAGAUCCUUUUCUAAGUUUUUUUUCCGUCUCCCUUUUUGUGUGUGCUUGUGUAUGUUCAUGAAUGGGAAAGGUGAGAAGAGGAGAGUGGGGGGGGGGGGGGGGGGGGNN